rnacentral:lncRNA from 1 species
GUAAGAGACCAUUCUUAACGAAUGUGGACAUGGAGAUGUCACUAAGAGUUGCUGUUUGAUGGUGAGGUGGUGCAGAAUUGUUCUGUCAUCGUGCAGGUGACACUCAAAUAAUAAUUAUUUGUCAUUGUAUUAGGGUAUUAAUACUAAAUCACUGUGUUAGUUUGAAGUUAUAAAUAGCCAAGGAACAUCCGAAGUCAGGCGGCGUGUUAUGUGAGCGACAUUGAGGGAGUCGCUAAAAGUUGUAGUUGUUUUACAUUUGAGUUAUUUAGUAUCAUUCGAUUAAAGAUUUGUUGUUGAACGUUGAAUUGAAAUUUGUUUUCGUUUCACCCUUAUGUGUGGGUUAUGGUGUAUUUGAUAGACUUCUUAAUUGAUCAAGCAGAUGCCAUUGUUUAACCUGCAAGUUUGUACAACUUGAUGAAAUUUAGUUUUCUUAUUUUCAAAGAGUUUUUAUGAUGGUGCUCGCAAUGCGUUGUGAAGUGAAAUUGCACAGGAUCAUCAUGGUCGGAUUACAACAAGCUAUAAUUAUUGAUUAGUCAUUUUGCAAUGUAGGUUGGUGGAAAUACUUUCAUCAAGACCUAGCGCAGUUAAGUUUAAGUUUUGACGCAAUUUAACUAUGUAUAGGUGCAUGAUUGAGUUUAGCAAGUGUUAGCAGUGGACUGUGAAUGGCAGGGAGAACAGUCAUUAUAUAUAUAUAUAUAUUAGAAUGAGAAACAAUAGCCAUUGGUUUGAAGUCAAACAACAUUGAGGCUAACAACGAAUGAGCGGGUCAGCGUUCAACCAAACGAAUGUUCGAAAUAUCAUCAGAUUUGCUUUAUAUGUUGUCUUCUGCACAAAAAAGACCGCUAUGUCAAAAAAAAAAAAGAAAGAGAGAGAGGAACUGUUGAGUUCUCUGUCAUCAUUGCUUCCAAAGUAAUAGUAUUAGAAGUGCCGUCCAGAGUAUUGAUAAAUCUGACUGCAUUAUUGUCAAUUGUGGAGCAGGGGGUUCAAUUAGUGGUCGAUCCUACGAUGCUUACAGACUUUCUUACGAGUGUCAUCUGUAAUACGGAAAUUAGUAAAAACAAAAGGUUCUUACAAUGUUUGAGAGUGACUUACUAAUAAAGCUAUAAAAUAGCGAUUGCACAAAUACAGAUUAUACCAGUGUACAAUUUAUUUUAGCAUAAUAAGCUGUGUGAACUCUCGGUGAACUUGGAAACGUCAGCAAUACAAAUAAAGUAACUUUCAACAGUCUACCACACACGUUUGCAACAAAAGUAUAUUGAAUUUGAAUAAGGAACUCUUAAAGUAUAAAACUGUCAUCUGGUUUUAAAAAGUUGAGUUCCUACACAGCUUUUGCCUUAACUGGAACUAUGUGGUACGGACAUCUCUAAAACCAAACAAAAGGAUGUUCUUAUUUUGUGAUAUAAACAUGUGUGAUGGUGCGUGCUCAUGCAGACGCAUGCUCGUGCAGGCGAGUGCUCAUGAAGGCAAUGCUGCAAAAGUUUAUGCAGAGCGCGGAGGACCGUGUUGUUCGCAGUGGCUCUGGUACAUGCUGUGGCACUGGAUUACAAUGGGCGUGAUGAACUUCAGACGUAUGCGGUUUAUCUAUUUUGCAGUAGGCAGUUCUCUGCCCAAUGAUCACACAGUUAACUGAUUUGCCAGUUCAGUCCAAAAGUCAAGUCGGGCCAAAAGAAGAAGGAAUCGGAAGAAGAAAAAUGUAUUUGGAACUUCGGAAUUUCAUUAAAUUGAAAUUGGGUUAAAAGCUUCGGAAUUCCAUUAAAUUGGAAUUGGAUUAAAACCUUCGGAACUCCAUUGAAUUGAAAUUUGCUUUGGAAUUCCAUUAGAUUGGAAUUUGCUUCGGAAUUCCUUUAAAUGGGGAUUGGCUUCGGAAUUCCAUUAGAUUGGGAUUAGGUUAAAGACUUCGGAAUUUCGUUUAAUUGAAAUUGGGUAAAUAAAACUUCGGAAUCCCAUUAGAUUGGAAUUAGCUUUGGAAUUCCAUUAAAUUG